rnacentral:rRNA from 1 species
AGGGUUCGAUUAUGGCUCAGAACGAACGCUGGCGGCAGGCCUAACACAUGCAAGUCGAGCGCGCCUUCGGGCGAGCGGCGGACGGGUUAGUAACGCGUGGGAACGUGCCCAGAUCUAUGGAAUAGCCACUGGAAACGGUGAGUAAUACCGUAUACGCCCCUUGGGGGAAAGAUUUAUCGGAUUUGGAUCGGCCCGCGUUAGAUUAGGUAGUUGGUGGGGUAAUGGCCUACCAAGCCUACGAUCUAUAGCUGGUUUUAGAGGAUGAUCAGCAACACUGGGACUGAGACACGGCCCAGACUCCUACGGGAGGCAGCAGUGGGGAAUCUUGGACAAUGGGGGCAACCCUGAUCCAGCCAUGCCGCGUGAGUGAAGAAGGCCCUAGGGUCGUAAAACUCUUUCGCCUGUGAUGAUAAUGACAGUAGCAGGUAAAGAAACCCCGGCUAACUCCGUGCCAGCCGCCGCGGUAAUUC